GACGAACGCUGGCGGCGUGCUUAACACAUGCAAGUCGAACGGAAAGGCCUCUUUCGGGGGGUACUCGAGUGGCGAACGGGUGAGUAACACGUGAGUAACCUGCCCUUGACUUUGGGAUAACUUCAGGAAACUGGGGCUAAUACCGGAUAGGAGCUCCUGCUGCAUGGUGGGGGUUGGAAAGUUUCGGCGGUUGGGGAUGGACUCGCGGCUUAUCAGCUUGUUGGUGGGGUAGUGGCUUACCAAGGCUUUGCCGGGUAGCCGGCCUGAGAGGGUGACCGGCCACAUUGGGACUGAGAUACGGCCCAGACGCCUACGGGAGGCAGCAGUGGGGAAUAUUGCACAAUGGGUGGAAGCCUGAUGCAGCAACGCCGUGUGCGGGAUGACGGCCUUCGGGUUGUAAACCGCUUUCGCUCAUGACGAAGCUUUGUGUGACGGUAGUGGGUAAAGAAGCACCGGCUAACUACGUG
rnacentral:rRNA from 1 species